UAUAUCAUUUGAAAGAAAUUAUUACUGGAAAAAUUAAACAAGUGCCAGAGAGAUGAAUCGAUUUUUGGUGAUUAUAUAGUUGGCAUCUUGGAGAGUGAUGAAAUGCAUGAAUAAAAAGCAUUUACUUUACAGGAACUGUUAGGUGCAGUGGUGGGUGAUACAAGUUAAUUUUAGUUAAAAUGAUAUGAGGAAAAAGCACGAAAAAUAUAACCUGUUAACAAGGCACUCCAAUAUACAGAGGAAGAGCGUCAGACACAUAAUGUUGCUUGUAAAUCCUACCAAAGCUGUUACUGUACCAUAUACAAUUUGGAAUAUCAUGACAUCACGCGGCUUAUUGCUUAUUGCUUACAGCUGAUUAGGUCUAUUAAAUUAUGCGAUAUGGAGUCAAUGUCGUCACUAAAAUACUAGACCUGUCAGAUUCUGUAUCUGAUGUUUUUUUUUCGCAUUUCAUACGAAUUACUAGUGCGAUGGAUGUUAAAAAGCUCAUGGAUGAAAUUUAUUUCACAAAAUGUAUGCGAUAAAAAGAAGGAAAUUAUUUUUAAUCCAUUUAAAUGUGGGCUUAAAAUUUCGAAUUUAGAUAAAAAAGACUUAAAUGGAAAGUAAUAUUAACGGGAAGUUUAACCAAAUAUGCACCUAUCCAAGAAGAAAUGUUUAUGCAAGGCGAAUAUACAUUGUGACCGAAAAGUUUCCGGAAAUU